CUCAAAAAGUAAGUCUCAGUUCGGAUUGAAGGCUGAAAUUCGCCUUCAUGAAGCCGGAAUUGCUAGUAAUGGCAGGUCAGCAUACUGCCGUGAAUACGUUCCCGGGCCUUGUACACACCGCCCGUCACACCAUGAGAGUUGGGAAUACCCGAAGCCUGUGAGCUAACUUUUAGAGGCAGCAGUCGAAGGUAGAAUCAAUGAUUGGGGUGAAGUCGUAACAAGGUACC
rnacentral:rRNA from 1 species